UACGAAGGGGGCUAGCGUUGCUCGGAAUUACUGGACGUAAAGCGCACGUAGGCGGCUUUCUAAGUCGGGGGUGAAAUCCUGGAGCUCAACUCCAGAACUGCCUUCGAUACUGGAAAGCUCGAGUCCGGGAGAGGUGAGUGGAACUGCGAGUGUAGAGGUGAAAUUCGUAGAUAUUCGCAAGAACACCAGUGGCGAAGGCGGCUCACUGGCCCGGUACUGACGCUGAGGUGCGAAAGCGUGGGGAGCAAACAGG
rnacentral:rRNA from 1 species